rnacentral:rRNA from 1 species
GAUGAACGCUGGCGGCGUGCCUAAUACAUGCAAGUCGAGCGAACGGACGAGAAGCUUGCUUCUCUGAUGUUAGCGGCGGACGGGUGAGUAACACGUGGAUAACCUACCUAUAAGACUGGGAUAACUUCGGGAAACCGGAGCUAAUACCGGAUAAUAUUUUGAACCGCAUGGUUCAAAAGUGAAAGACGGUCUUGCUGUCACUUAUAGAUGGAUCCGCGCUGCAUUAGCUGGUUGGUAAGGUAACGGCUUACCAAGGGAACGAUGCAUAGCCGACCUGAGAGGGUGAUCGGCCACACUGGAACUGAGACACGGUCCAGACUCCUACGGGAGGCAGCAGUAGGGAAUCUUCCGCAAUGGGCGAAAGCAUGACGGAGCAACGCCGCGCGAGUGAUGAAGGUCUUCGGAUCGUAAAACUCUGUUAUUAGGGAAGAACAUAUGUGUAAGUAACUGUGCACAUCUUGACGGUACCUAAUCAGAAAGCCCCGGCUAACUACGUG